GCCGAGUUAAGGUGAAACCGCGAAAGGCUCAUUAAAUCAGUUAUGGUUCCUUAGANCGUANNNNCGUUUACUUGGAUAACUGUGGUAAUUCUAGAGCUAAUACAUGCAAACAGAGCUCCGACCUGAGAAGGGAGGAGCGCUUUUAUUAGAUCAAAACCAAUCGGCGUCGGGUCCGCCCCGUCGUCGUACCAACUGGUGAAUCUGAAUAACUUUCUGCUGAUCGCAUGGUCCCGCACCGGCGACGCAUCUUUCAAAUGUCUGCCUUAUCAACUGUCGAUGGUAGGUUCUGCGCCUACCAUGGUUGUAACGGGUAACGGGGAAUCAGGGUUCGAUUCCGGAGAGGGAGCCUGAGAAACGGCUACCACAUCCAAGGAAGGCAGCAGGCGCGCAAAUUACCCACUCCCGGCACGGGGAGGUAGUGACGAAAAAUAACGAUACGGGACUCAUCCGAGGCCCCGUAAUCGGAAUGAGUACAAUCUAAACCCUUUAACGAGGAUCAAUUGGAGGGCAAGUCUGGUGCCAGCAGCCGCGGUAAUUCCAGCUCCAAUAGCGUAUAUUAAAGUUGUUGCGGUUAAAAAGCUCGUAGUCGAAUUUGUGUCCCGCGCCGCCGGUUCAUCGCACGCGGUGUUUAACUGGCGUGUCCGCGGGACGUCCUGCCGGUGGGCUUAACUCGCGAGGGUGGCCCAACUCAAUCCCACCGCGGUGCUCUUCACUGAGUGUCGAGGUGGGCCGGCACGUUUACUUUGAACAAAUUAGAGUGCUCAAAGCAGGCUAGAACUUCGCCUGAAUACCGUGUGCAUGGAAUAAUGGAAUAGGACCUCGGUUCUAUUUUGUUGGUUUUCGGAACCCCGAGGUAAUGAUUAAUAGGAACGGAUGGGGGCAUUCGUAUUGCGACGUUAGAGGUGAAAUUCUUGGAUCGUCGCAAGACGAACAGAAGCGAAAGCAUUUGCCAAAAACGUUUUCAUUGAUCAAGAACGAAAGUUA
rnacentral:rRNA from 1 species